rnacentral:rRNA from 1 species
GAUAGCCUUUCGAAAGGAAGAUUAAUACCCCAUAAUAUAUUUGAUGGCAUCAUUAGAUAUUGAAAACUCCGGUGGAUAGAGAUGGGCACGCGCAGGAUUAGAUAGUUGGUAGGGUAACGGCCUACCAAGUCAACGAUCCUUAGGGGGCCUGAGAGGGUGAUCCCCCACACUGGUACUGAGACACGGACCAGACUCCUACGGGAGGCAGCAGUGAGGAAUAUUGGACAAUGGGUGAGAGCCUGAUCCAGCCAUCCCGCGUGAAGGACGACGGCCCUAUGGGUUGUAAACUUCUUUUGUAUAGGGAUAAACCUACCCUCGUGAGGGUAGCUGAAGGUACUAUACGAAUAAGCACCGGCUAACUCCGUGCCAGCAGCCGCGGUAAUACGGAGGGUGCAAGCGUUAUCCGGAUUUAUUGGGUUUAAAGGGUCCGUAGGCUGAUUUGUAAGUCAGUGGUGAAAUCUCACAGCUUAACUGUGAAACUGCCAUUGAUACUGCAAGUCUUGAGUGUUGUUGAAGUAGCUGGAAUAAGUAGUGUAGCGGUGAAAUGCAUAGAUAUUACUUAGAACACCAAUUGCGAAGGCAGGUUACUAAGCAACAACUGACGCUGAUGGACGAAAGCGUGGGGAGCGAACAGGAUUAGAUACCCUGGUAGUCCACGCCGUAAACGAUGCUAACUCGUUUUUGGGGCCUUGCGCUUCAGAGACUAAGCGAAAG